GCCACCUGUGUGAUGUGGACACCACCUCUCCGUGAAAGUUUUUCCUAUCCUUUCCUUGUACUUCAGAUGUAUGUUUUAACUUUGAUUCUCAGAUUAGGUGAUGGAAGCUGCCCAUUCUUCAUCACCCCUUGCUACUCAUUCCCAGUUUAAUUCCUAGAAAGGACCUCAAGCAAUGAUAGAAGGCCCUUCAUUGCACUCUGUCUUUCCAAUGUUGCUUUUAUGCUUCCCUGGCAAUUUGCUCAGUUUAUACUUUUUACACAGAUAGCAUCAUUAUUUCCCAUGUAUGUUGUGGGAUACAUUGAACCAAGCAAAUUUCAGAAGAUCAUUUAUAUGAACAUGAUUUCAGUUACCCUUAGUUUCAUUUUGAUGUUUGGAAAUUCAAUGUACUUAUCUUCUUAUUAUUCUUCAUCUUUGUUAAUGACAUGGGCAAUAAUUCUAAAGAGAAAUGAAAUUCAAAAACUGGGAGUAUCUAAACUCAACUGCUGGCUAAUUCAAGGUAGUGCCUGGUGGUGUGGAACAAUCAUUUUGAAAUUUCUGACAUCUAAAAUCUUAGGCGUUUCAGACCAUAUUUGCCUGAGUGAUCUUAUAGCAGCCGGAAUCUUAAGGUAUACAGAUUUUGAUACUUUAAAAUACACCUGUUCUCCCGAAUUUGACUUCAUGGAAAAAGCGACUCUGCUGAUAUACACAAAGACAUUAUUGCUUCCAGUUGUUAUGGUGAUUACAUGUUUUAUCUUUAAAAAGACUGUUGGUGAUAUUUCGCGUGUUUUAGCUACAAACGUUUAUCUAAGAAAACAGCUCCUUGAACACAGUGAGCUGGCUUUUCACACAUUGCAGUUGUUAGCAUUUACUGCCCUUGCCAUUUUAAUUUUGAGGCUAAAGCUGUUUUUGACACAGCACAUGUGUGUUAUGGCUUCCUUGAUAUGCUCUUGACGGCUCUUUGGCUGGCUUUUUCGCAGAGUUCGCAGAGAGAAUGUUAUCUUUGGCAUUCUAACAGUGAUGUCAAUACAAGGUUAUGCAAACCUCUGUAAUCAAUGGAGCAUAACAGGAGAAUUUAAUGAUUUGCCUCAGGAAGAACUUUUACAGUGGAUCAAAUACAAUACCGUACCAGAUGCUGUCUUUGCAGGUGCCAUGCCUACAAUGGCAAGUGUCAAGCUGUCUACACUUCAUCCCAUUGUGAAUCAUCCACAUUACGAAGAUGCAGACUUGAGGGCUUGGACAAAAAUAGUUUAUUCUACAUAUAGUGGAAAAUCUGCCAAAGAAGUAAGAGAUAAAUUGUUGGAGUUACAUGUGAAUUAUUAUGUUUUAGAAGAGGCAUGGUGUGUUGUGAGAACUAAGCCUGGUUGCAGCAUGCUUGAAAUCUGGGAUGUGGAAGACCCUUCCAAUGCAGCUAACCCUCCCUUAUGUAGCGUCCUCCUUGAGCCGAGAUUGUGCCACUGCACUCCAGCCUGGGCGACAAAUCAAGACCCCGUCUCCAAAAAAAAAAAAAACAAAACUUGAUUGGGAUCCAAAAUCAUACAACUAUACACUAAAAUCAGUGAAUAUUACCUUAUGUAAAUUAAAAAUUAGGAAAUCAAAAGAAAAGCAUACAUAUAAAAAACAGUUUUUUCUAAGCA
ensembl:lncRNA DPY19L2P2 DPY19L2 pseudogene 2